UUCUGGUUGAUCCCGCCGGACCUGACUGCUAUCGGAUUGAUACUAAGCCAUGCGAGUCUUUGUAGUAAUACAAGGCAGACGGCUCAGUAACACGUAGUCAACCUACCCUAUGGACGAGAAUAAUCUCGGGAAACUGAGCAUAAUUCUUGAUAGAUCAUAAUGCCUGGAAUGGUUUAUGGUUAAAAUGAUUCGUCGCCAUAGGAUGGGACUGCGGCCUAUCAGCUUGUUGGUGGGGUAAUGGCCCACCAAGGCGAUUACAGGUACGGGCUCUGAGAGGAGAAGCCCGGAGAUGGGUACUGAGACACGGACCCAGGCCCUAUGGGGCGCAGCAGGCGAGAAAACUUUGCAAUGUGCGAAAGCACGACAAGGUUAAUCCGAGUGAUUUCUGCUAAAGAAAUCUUUUGCCAGUCGUAAAACCGCUGGUGAAUAAGGGGUGGGCAAGUUCUGGUGCCAGCAGCCGCGGUAAU
rnacentral:rRNA from 1 species